UACGUAGGGUGCAAGCGUUGUCCGGAAUUAUUGGGCGUAAAGAGCUCGUAGGCGGUUUGUUGCGUCGGCUGUGAAAUCCCGAGGCUCAACCUCGGGUCUGCAGUCGAUACGAGCAAACUAGAGUGUUGCAGGGGAGACUGGAAUUCCUGGUGUAGCGGUGAAAUGCGCAGAUAUCAGGAUGAACACCGGUGGCGAAGGCGGGUCUCUGGGCAACAACUGACGCUGAGGAGCGAAAGCGUGGGGAGCGAACAGG
rnacentral:rRNA from 1 species